rfam:TPA: Bos taurus chromosome 20, whole genome shotgun sequence.
UCCCUGAUAGCUCAGUUGGUAAAGAAUCAGCCUGCAAAGCAGGAGACCCUGGUUUGAUUUCUGGGUCAGGAAG